rnacentral:rRNA from 1 species
AGGGAAUCUUCCGUAAUGGACGCAAGUCUGACGGAGCAACGCCGCGUGAGUGAAGAAGGUUUUCGGAUCGUAAAACUCUGUUGUUAGAGAAGAACAAGUGCUAGAGUAACUGUUAGCGCCUUGACGGUAUCUAACCAGAAAGCCACGGCUAACUACGUGCCAGCAGCCGCGGUAAUACGUAGGUGGCAAGCGUUGUCCGGAUUUAUUGGGCGUAAAGCGAGCGCAGGCGGUUCCUUAAGUCUGAUGUGAAAGCCCCCGGCUCAACCGGGGAGGGUCAUUGGAAACUGGGGAACUUGAGUGCAGAAGAGGAGAGUGGAAUCCCAUGUGUAGCGGUGAAAUGCGUAGAUAUAUGGAGGAACACCAGUGGCGAAGGCGACUCUCUGGUCUGUAACUGACGCUGAGGCUCGAAAGCGUGGGUAGCAAACAGGAUUAGAUACCCUGGUAGUCCACGCCGUAAACGAUGAGUGCUAAGUGUUGGAGGGUUUCCGCCCUUCAGUGCUGCAGUUAACGCAUUAAGCACUCCGCCUGGGGAGUACGACCGCAAGGUUG